rnacentral:rRNA from 1 species
GAGAGCCCGGUGCGAGUGGCCGGGGUGAUACGGGGGGUGCAAGCGGUAUCCGGAUUUAUUGGGUGUAAAGGGUCCGUAGGCGGACCGGUAAGGCAGUGGGUAAAGCCUACAGCUUAACUGUAGAACUGCCGUUGAUACUGUCGGUCUUGAGUGUGGGUGAGGUAGCUGGAAUGAGUAGUGUAGCGGUGAAAUGCAUAGAUAUUACUCAGAACACCAAUUGCGAAGGCAGGUUACCAAGUCACAACUGACGCUGAUGGACGAAAGCGUGGGGAGCGAACAGGAUUAGAUACGCGUGUAGUC